UUCGACAUAAAAAGGUGGCUUCGGCUACCACCUAUACAGUGGACCCGCGGCGACUUAGCUAGUUGGUGAGGUAACGGCUCACCAAGGCGACGAAUGCGUAGCCGACCUGAGAGGGUGAUCGGCCACACUGGGACUGAGACACGGCCCAGACUCCUACGGGAGGCAGCAGUAGGGAAUCUUCCGCAAUGGACGAAAGUCUGACGGAGCAACGCCGCGUGAGUGAUGAAGGUUUUCGGAUCGUAAAGCUCUGUUGUUAGGGAAGAACAAGUGCCGUUCAAAUAGGGCGGCACCUUGACGGUACCUAACCAGAAAGCCACGGCUAACUACGUGCCAGCAGCCGCGGUAAUACGUAGGUGGCAAGCGUUGUCCGGAAUUAUUGGGCGUAAAGGGCUCGCAGGCGGUUUCUUAAGUCUGAUGUGAAAGCCCCGGCUCAACGGGGAGGUCAUGGAACUGGGACUGAGUGCAAGAG
rnacentral:rRNA from 1 species